GACGAACGCUGGCGGCGUGCUUAACACAUGCAAGUCGAACGGUGAAGGGACUGGUUUUGCUGGUCCUGGAUGAGUGGCGACCGGGUGAGUAACAGGUGAGUAACCUGCCCCCUUCUUCUGGAUAACCGCAUGAAAGUGUGGCUAAUACGGGAUAUUCUGGGUCUGUCGCAUGGUGGGCCUGGGAAAGAUUGCGCCUUUUUUGGUGUUUUUGUUGGGGGAUGGGCUCGCGGCCUAUCAGCUUGUUGGUGGGGUGAUGGCCUACCAAGGCGGUGACGGGUAGCCGGCCUGAGAGGGUGGACGGUCACACUGGGACUGAGACACGGCCCAGACUCCUACGAGAGGCAGCAGUGGAGAAUAGUGCACAAUGGGCGCAAGCCUGAUGCAGCGACGCCGCGUGAGGGAUGGAGGCCUUCGGGUUGUGAACCUCUUUCGCCAGUGAAGCAGGCCUGCCUCUUUUUGUGGGUGGGUUGACGGUAGCUGGAUAAGAAGCGCUGGCUAACUACGUG
rnacentral:rRNA from 1 species